rnacentral:miRNA from 1 species
UCUCGGAAUGGAAGCGCUUUACC